rnacentral:rRNA from 1 species
CAGACCUCUGAUCAGGGAAGACUACCCGCUGAGUUUAAGCAUAUCACUAAGCGGAGGAGAAGAAACUAACCAGGAUUUCCCUAAUAACGGCGAGCGAACCGGAA